rnacentral:rRNA from 1 species
GACCAGACUCCUACGGGAGGCAGCAGUAGGGAAUAUUGCACAAUGGGGGAAACCCUGAUGCAGCGACGCCGCGUGAGUGAAGAAGUAUUUCGGUAUGUAAAGCUCUAUCAGCAGGGAAGAAAAUGACGGUACCUGACUAAGAAGCCCCGGCUAACUACGUGCCAGCAGCCGCGGUAAUACGUAGGGGGCAAGCGUUAUCCGGAUUUACUGGGUGUAAAGGGAGCGUAGACGGCAUGGCAAGUCAGAUGUGAAAGCCCGGGGCUCAACCCCGGGACUGCAUUUGAAACUGUCAGGCUGGAGUGCAGGAGAGGUAAGUGGAAUUCCUAGGGUAGCGGUGAAAUGCGUAGAUAUUAGGAGGAACACCAGUGGCGAAGGCGGCUUACUGGACUGUAACUGACGUUGAGGCUCGAAAGCGUGGGGAGCAAACAGGAUUAGAUACCCCCGUAAA